UGAAACCCCCCUGCUAGCGCAGCAACCUGCGCUCGCAACUCUUGUACCUCACUAGCCCUCUAGCGCCACCGGAGGCACAGCUGACUCGGGCACCACAGGAGGUGGGGCCGGAGCAAUCCGACGCACGUAGCGUCUCUUCGGUGCCAUAAGCUCCUGAAAUGCAAACAAUCGGUUAAUCACCUAACCCAACAACGUCUUCGCAGUUACGAAACGACAUAGCUCAACUACGUUAAUCAGACGGAAGCUCAUAAGUGUACCCGUUCUUGACUCUCGGCAUUGUGUUGUCGGCCGCCAACACAACCGCCUUAGGCCAAGGACUAGUAUCACUCAAUUCACCUCUAGAAACUACUAGAGCAUCAUCAUCCACUUCGACCCAAUCUAUCAACUUCCGUCGCAUCAUCGGUCCACGUCGCACUCACGCACCUAUAACCUUAUGGUUCAACAUCCUAGAGUCUCCUAGGUCAGUCCUAGACUCUCUCUUUUGCUUGCUCUUACUCGCUCUGAUACCACGACUGUCACGCCCCCGCCCCAAGUCCGCUACCGAUUUGGUCCGGUUCGGGCGCGGCGAAUGGACCGCCGAACGGACAGCAACUCCCCUGUCCGCCCAAGGCUUCAACAAAGAGGUCAUGUACACAAGUUCCCAGGAAACACACUUGUUCACAUACAUGAUCUAACAAUGACGACGAAGCACAAACAGUGCUUAACAACCAAGAGCAAGCAACACAGGUAAGUAUACAAGUUAUAAAAAGAGAGAAGUACUUAACUAUUGAACUCAUUUAACUUUACAUAACUCUUUCAUCUUUUACAGUCUUCCAAAACAUAUGUACAAUCACUCUCAAAUCCUCACCCUAUACAACAUCUACUCUCAAACAUAGUUACAAGGUAAAGCUAAUGCAAAAGGAAGUAGAGUUAGCUAUGUACAUAUGCCACUAUGGUGCUAGGCCCUUGCCGCGAUUCUCAUCGGGGCUACUCGAACUCGGACCUACAACAAAGUGGUAUGAGAACUACAAAUAGUUCCGAGUGGGUUCGGCCGCCAACUCCGCCGAUCUUCCCACUAGGUCUAAGCAGGCACAGAUAGAUAUGCAGAUAGAUAGAUAUAUAUAACUGAAAGCAUUAACAAGGAAUAAGCAAGUAUAGGUAUGAACAUCUAACUAUGCCUCAAUCUGGAAUCAUGCAUGCAUGUCAUUCAUAUUGAAUUCGUAGCUACCAUACUACUAUGCUCAAUAAUAAGGGUUGUUCAUUACUUUACCCAAUCAUUCGAUCAUCCGGCAACACAAUCUCACAUUGAUAAGUCUCAUAGGGAAAAGCCUCGCUGAACUAUUCUCCGAGACCGCCUGCGGACAGAUACACUCACUGUCCAGGCAGCGCAUGGCGACUGCCCCUCGAGUGACAAAUACUCCGGAGUGCACAGCCUGUGGGGAGCGACCCUGACAAGCGCAGACAGGCUAUGUGAGUAUAAUCUGAACUCACGAACUGGUCCUACCAACUAAGGUUGGUGUCAACAUAGAAUAAAGCGUUCCAAUACCCAAGCUCAUAGUGUUUUGCUACACUAGGGUUCUUAUGUUCAAUAUCAACUAGAUGCCACUCGUUUGUGUUCAUGGUUAACUAGAUGCCACUCGUUCUUUUGACAAGUUCUCAUUACUCUAGUCCACAUUGUACUAGGUUUCCAUAGCUACAUGUACAUCCAACACAUAUAGGAUUAAACUGUAUCAUACUACCUUGAGCACACUAGGUUCUAGUGCUAUAUCAACUAAGACGCAUUAACACUAGCAUGCAAACAUAGAUAUUACUAACUUAGUUCCCUAUAUGCCAUAUGUUCAAUAUGCAACUGAUCAACAUAGUAACUCAGACAUAGGGAGCAGUUCAACUGCUUCGGGAUGGCACUCCCCCACCUUUUGGUAGUGCCGCGUAGUUAGCAAACUCGACGUUGCGGUCCUCGUACGUCGCUUCAACUCCUCGGGGGAAAGCGAACCCUCAAGUAUCAGUUUCGGCGAUAUCUUCGCGCUCGCUCGUCGGAUCGACGAACCGUCUUCGCCUACGCGUUCGAAGACUUAGCAAUUAGGUUUACGACCUAUUAAACAAGAUCAAAACCUUACAUUUCCAAAAAUCCCUUAUCGUGCCCUAGAAUGGCAACGAUGGAGAAAUCCGUGGUGCGAGCUUCCAUUUCGAGCUCGAACCAUCUCCUUAACCUCAAUAGGUUCCAUUCGAACCAUUUCUAAGCUAUAAAACCCAAUCUUAAGAAAUCCACCAUGGUUGGGUUUGGAGCUUACCUCUUUACCAAGCUCCAAGCAUGCUCUAGCUUGAGGGAGAGAGAGAGGAAGAUGAUCUUCUUCUUCUCCUUGCUCUUCUCCUUCUUCUUUCUCUACUUCUUCUUUUCUUUCUUCUCCUUCUUCUCUUCUUCUUUUCCUUCGUUCUAGAGAGAGAGAGGGAGAGAAAGAAAGGGCAAAUGAGACAACAGAGAGAGAGAGAGGGGUCCCCCACCUCUCACAUAGGCCAAUUUGCAAAUAAGCCCCUCAACUUUCCAUCUAUUAAAUAGCCUCUCACUGGGCAUUUUCGCAGUGAGGGACCGGUCCUAGCUCGGGGAGACCGGUCCCCGAGAGCCUCACAUUCUGGCAGAGGGGAUUUCGCGUUCGGGAACCGGUCCCUGCCUGAGAGACCGGUCCCCGAGAGACCGGUCCUUGUCCGAGAGACCGGUUCCCGAGAGUUGAAUUUUCGGGACUUAGCCAAAUUUCGGCUUCUCUCGCUGGGUUAACGUUCGGGGACCGGUUCUUACCUGCCAGAGACCGGUUGCAUCAAGGAUCCCCGCCGACCCAGCCUGAUGGGACCGGUCCCUCCCUGCCAGGGACCGGUCCCCGAGAGCAAUUCUGCUCCAGUGCAGAUUUUGCACUGCAGCUCUCGCGGACUUUUCCUUAAUGCACUUUAUGCAUUCUAAGUAUCUUCGGACUUUCCGAAGCUUACACCCUCGACGAUUAGUCGGUUCCAAACGAAGUCUAAUCCUCGAAUUUUGAGAAUUCACUUCCUUACAUCCUCCCCACCUUAAAAGAGUUUCGUCCUCGAAACGAACUCAAUAUUACAAAACUUAUUUAGAACUUUAAAUUCUAAACUCAUACCUCGAUUUACUCCUCGAACAAGUGAGGGUGAUUCGCUUUCAUCUCCUCCUCGAGCUCCCAGGUAGCUUCGCGAUCGCUAUGAUUGCUCCACCGGACUCGAACAUAGGGAAUUUCUCGAUUCCUCAACUUACGUACUUCCCGAGCCAAAAUCAUCACCGGAAACUCCUCGUAGCUCAUAUCUUCUUGCAGUUCCGGCGGUUCAUAAACUAAGACAUGCUCAGGAUCAUGCACAUACUUGCGGAGAUUAGAGACGUGGAAUACGUUGUGCACACCCGCAAGCUUGGGUGGCAAUGCUAGUCGGUAAGCCACCGUCCCAAUCCGCUCCAAGAUCUCGUAGGGGCCGAUAUAACGAGGACUUAACUUCCCUCGCACCCCAAAUCUUUUCACGCCUCUCAUUGGCGAAACUUUCAAGAACACGCGGUCACCCACCGUGAACUCCAAGUCUCUAUGGCGCCUAUUUGAAUAGCUUUUCUGUCGAGACUGCGCCGUGAGCAAUCUCUUGCGAGCAAGGUGGACUUUCUACUCCGCCUCUUGCAACACAUCGGGACCGAACUCUACAUGCUCGCCCACAUCACUCCAAUGAAUGGGAGAUCGGCACUUCCGCCCAUAAAAAGCCUCGAACGGUGCCAUUCCCACACUCGCGUGAUAGCUGUUGUUGUAGGCGAACUCGGCCAUCGGCAGGUGCUUACACCAACUCCCCUUAUAAUCAAUGGCACACGCCCGCAACAUAUUCUCCAAGGUCUGAAUGGUUCUCUCGGUCUGCCCAUCAGUCUGAGGAUGAAACGCGGUACUGAACUCGAGUUGUGUGCCAAGGGCUUCCUGCAGGCUUUUCCAAAAGUGUGAAGUGAACUUGGGGUCUCGAUACGACACAAUCGACUUCGGCACCCCGUGCAGCCUCACCACCUCAUCAAGAUACACCUGCGCUAGCUUCUCACCUGCCCAAGUGUUGUGGAUCGGCAGAAAAUGCGCCGAUUUCGUCAAACGAUCCACAAUCACCCAAAUCGCGUCAUGGCCACUCGUCGAGCGAGGUAAACCAAUGACGAAGUCCAUCGACACGUCUUCCCAUUUCCAGACGGGAAUGGAUAAACUCUGAAGCUUCCCCGCUGGAAACCGACACUUCGCUUUCACCUGUUGGCAUACCAAACACUUCGCCACGAAGCGCCCAAUAUCGGCCUUCAUUCCCGGCCACCAAUAAAGCGUCUUCAACUCAUGGAACAUCUUGGUGCCGCCCGGGUGGUCGACGUAAGGAGACCAAUGCGCUUCUUGCAAAAUUAGCUUGCGAAGCUCCUCGUCGUUUGGCACACACCACCGGUUCCGAAACCGAAGUGCACCACUAGCAUCCAUGCUAAAAUCUCCACCACGGCCACUCUCAACAUUGUGCCACACCUUCUGGAGAAUUGGGUCCGCCGGUUGCAGACUUUUGAUCCUCUCCAGUAAGGUCGGUUGGAUCACCAACGUCAUCAACCUAGCCGGAAUUUCUGGAGCCACCACCUCAAGAUCCAUCUUCCCCAUUUGUAAUCGCAGGGGCGUCUAACUUGUAACCCACAAAGCUAGGUUCUCCGCGGAUUUUCGGCUAAGUGCAUCCCCACAUUUGCUUUUCCGGGGUGGUAAAGGAUAUCAACAUCGUAAUCCUUAAGCAAUUCCAACCACCGCCGUUGUCGCAUGUUCAGCUCCUUCUGGGUAAAUAAGUAGUUUAGGCUUUUAUGGUCGGUGUAGAUCUCACAAUGAGCACCAUAUAAAUAGUGUCUCCAAAGCUUCAAAGCAAAGAUCACCGCCGCCAAUUCCAAAUCAUGUAUGGGGUAGUUCUUUUCAUAGCUUUUCAACUGACGGGAUACAUAAGUGAUCACCCCCCCGCCUUGCAUCAGCACACACCCCAAACCCAGAUAGGAUGCAUCGCUAUAUACUACAUAAUUUUCACCCUGCACCAGCAAGGCGAGUACCGGAGUCGUAGUUAAUCUUUUCUUCAACUCUUUAAAACUCCGGUCGCAGUCGUCGCUCCAAACGAAUUUGAUGCCCUUCUGCGUCAGACGGGUGAGUGGAGUCACGAUCUUCGAAAAUCCUUCCACAAACCGUCGAUAAUAACCUGCUAGGCCUACAAAACUCCGGACCUCAGCAACGUUUGUCGGGCGCGGCCAACUCUCAAUCGCCUCUACUUUCCUCGGGUCCACAGAAACACCGCCCUCGGAAAUAACAUGCCCGAGAAAAGCGACUUCUCGGAGCCAGAAGUCACACUUCUUUAGCUUUGCGUAUAAUUUCUUCUCCCGAAGGAUCUGAAGUACUACGCGCAAAUGCUCCGCAUGCUCCUCUUCACUGUGUGAAUAGACCAAGAUGUCGUCUAUGAAGACUACGACAAAUCGGUCUAGACACUCCCUGAACACUCGGUUCAUCAAGCUCAUGAACGCAGCCGGGGCAUUUGUAUGCCCAAAUGGCAUCACGGUGAACUCGUAGUGUCCAUACCGCGUACGGAAUGCGGUCUUCGGAACAUCCUCCGGCUUAAUCUUCAAUUGAUGGUAGCCGGAUUGAAGGUCAAUCUUCGAGUACACCCGCGACCCCUGUAACUGAUCAAACAAGUCGUCAAUGCGGGGUAACGGGUACUUGUUCUUCACGGUGACCUUAUUCAACUCGCGAUAAUCCACGCAGAGUCGAAAAGAUCCAUCCUUCUUGCGCACGAACAAUACCGGGGCUCCCCACGGUGACACGCUCGGUCUGAUGAACUCCUUGUCGAGAAGAUCCUACAACUGAUCUCUUAACUCUCUUAACUCAGCCGGUGCCAUACGAUACGGGGCCUUUGAUAUCGGCGCGGUCCCGGGAAUCAAGUCUAUCAUGAACUCAAUUUUUCGGUCCGGCGGCAUCCCAGGUAACUCUGCCGGAAACACAUCUGGGAAUUCCCGCACAACCGCCAACUCUUCGAGAGUCGGAACUACUCGAUCAACUUCUACAACGGUCACCAGGUAAGCCGUGCAACCGCUGUUAACCAGCUUCCUCGCUCUUGUCGCCGAUAUCGUCGCGGCGAAACACGAACUCUUGCAAGCUCGAAACGUGAAUUCCUCGUGUCCCGGCUCCCGAAAUGUGAUCACUCUAGUUUUGCAGUCAAUAGACACAUAAUACUUCGAGAGCCAGUCGAUGCCCAAUAUAACAUCGAACUCCUUCAACCUUUUUAGCAGCAAUAGGUCGACCGACAUAAUCCAGUCGCCUACUUGUACUGGGCAUGCCAAACACCGCUUCCUAACAAGGAAUGAUCGUCCGGGUCCUUCUACACGCCAAACAUUCUCCCCCAGACGAAACUCAAUGUCAUGCACUUGUGCGAAUGAUCGAUUAAUGAAGGAGUGAGACGCGCCAGUAUCAAAAAGAGCUCUUGCUCGAACACCGUUAACCAAAAUCAUACCUGCCACCACAUUGCGCUCCUCAGCUUUGGUGGGCUCCUCUUCUUGCACUUGAGCGGCAUACAUCCUUCCGCUGAGAGCCGAUCGUGCAGGCUCAGGUUGACGUGGUGCCGCCGCACGCCCAGCCGACGGAACCCCAUAACGGGCUGGAAUUGCCUGAGUCGAUGCAACAGAUGGGGCCGGUGAGACCCAUCCUUGAGGACAGUCACGGAUGAUAUGCCCGGCUUGCCCGCACUUGAAGCACCUUCCUCGGCGCUGCUCACACACACCGGCUCGGUGGUCUCCGCCACAAAAGAUACACCGCUGUGCUCCACGGCCAUUCGAUUGCGAUCGUGGAUACUUCGGGGGCCUUCUAGAACUCGACUGUCCCCCCGAACCACCGCCCGGCCGCUUCUUCCCUUUAUCCUUCUCAUACAUCUCACGGUCCUCACGCUCACAGGCGUUCCCAUGCUAGACCCACAAGGCACGGUCCAAAGCCUCUGCAAAAGUGUGGAACUUAAAGGCAUGCACCGUCUUAAACACUCCGGGUCGGAGUCCUCUCACGAAGCAAUCCGCUCGGUCUUGCUCCGUUGUCGCCACGUCUGGGACGCAGUUCAGAAGAUGGGUGAAUUCCCGCUCAUACUCCCGAACCGUACGGUUGCCUUGCUUCAGCUUCCUGAAGUCUUCCCGCAUCUUUCUCUUGUCGCUGUCGGGGAAGUACUCCGCGAACAUCAAUCUUCGGAACUCCUCCCAAUUGAUCGGGGGAAGAUCCGAAGAUCGAUCCUGCUUCACUCUUUUCCGCCACACCCUGGCCCACUUGUCGAAACAAUGAGCGGCCAAAUUCACUUUGUCCCGCUUCUCGGUGUAAAUGUCCUCGAACAGGGUCUCCAUCGAGGCCAACCAAGUCUCCACUGUCCAAGGAUCUAUCACUUCUCCAUCGAAUGUAGGCGGGUGGAACUUCGUAAACCUCGUGAGAGCCGUGUAUCCACGCUCUCGCUCCGCCUCCUGAGCCGCUGCUCUGGGCGUAGGGGAUCUAGACGCCGCAGGAGGAAUAUCCACCGGUGGGGGUUGCGCCGCCACCGGAACCGGCGCAACGCCCACACUCUCAGCCGCAUUGGGAGCGCGAACCGAAGGCGCAGGCGGAUCGUGGCCUUGGCCAACCGCCGCAGCCGUUGCUUGACGCUCCAUAAGCUCCUGGAGCCGAUGAAACCCCCCUGCUAGCGCAGCAACCUGCGCUCGCAACUCUUGUACCUCACUAGCCCUAGCUGGCUCUAGCGCCACCGGAGGCACAGCUGACUCGGGCACCACAGGAGGUGGGGCCGGAGUAAUCCGACGCACGUAGCGUCUCUUCGGUGCCAUAAGCUCCUGAAACGCAAACAAUCGGUUAAUCACCUAACCCAACAACGUCUUCGCAGUUACGAAACGACAUAGCUCAACUACGUUAAUCAGACGGAAGCUCAUAAGUGUACCCGUUCUUGACUCUCGGCAUUGUGUUGUCGGCCGCCAACACAACCGCCUUAGGCCAAGGACUAGUAUCACUCAAUUCACCUCUAGAAACUACUAGAGCAUCAUCAUCCACUUCGACCCAAUCUAUCAACUUCCGUCGCAUCAUCGGUCCACGUCGUCCUCACGCACCUAUAACCUUAUGGUUCAACAUCCUAGAGUCUCCUAGGUCAGUCCUAGACUCUC
rnacentral:lncRNA from 1 species